GACGAACGCUGGCGGCGUGCUUAACACAUGCAAGUCGAACGGGUCUGCCCUGUUUUUUGCGGGGUGGGUCAGUGGCGACCGGGUGAGUAACACGUGAGUAACCUGCCCCUCACUUCUGGAUAACCGCUUGAAAGGGUGGCUAAUACGGGGUGUUCUGGCUGUGCCGCAUGGUGUGGCUGGGAAAGAUUCACUUUUGUGGUGUUUUGGUGGGGGAUGGGCUCGCGGCCUAUCAGCUUGUUGGUGGGGUGAUGGCCUGCCAAGGCUUUGACGGGUAGCCGGCCUGGGAGGGUGGGCGGUCACACUGGGACUGAGAUACGGCCCAGACUGCUGCGGGAGGCAGCAGUGGGGGGUAUUGCACAAUGGGCGGAAGCCUGAUGCGGCGACGUCGCGUGAGGGAUGGAGGCCUUCGGGUUGUGAACCUCUUUCGCCGGUGAAGAAGGUCCUGCUCUUUGUGGUGGGGUUGACGGUAGCCGGGUUAUGAAGCGCCGGCUAACUACGUG
rnacentral:rRNA from 1 species